CCGGCGGGCACCGACGCCUCCGUCCCUCGCCCGCCCGCAGCAGCCGGCUGAGCCUGUGCCCGGGGAGGAUCCCUUCGAUCCGCAGCAAACGUUUUCCCUCCGAGCCCUCCCCUCCCCCUCCACGGAGGACCGUGACCUCCGGAAACGCGCUAGCUCAAUAAAAUCCGCCGAGGAAACUAAAAAUAAAGGCAAGGCAAGCGGCAAGUUUGAGGAGCGGGGCGCGCCGUACCUUGAUGGUGGUCUCGGGGAGGUUGAGGGCGGCAGCCAGCUCGCAGCGCCGCGGCCGCGACACGUAGUUCUCCCGCCUCCAGCUCUGUCUCGGCAGAAGAGAGAGCGCCGUUUGCAGAGGCGAGCAACUUUGGCGGUGUCGCUGGGAGGAAGUCAGGCUGGCCGGGGAGCGGAGUGCGGAGCAGCCCACCUCCACAUCACUGUUCAUAUCUGCCUCUUGAGCAACUUCCGAAUAAAGGCUGAUUUUCUUCCUGCUUUCCGACGGCGGGAUUUCGGACGAGACGGCGCUUUCGCUGCUCGGGUGCUGAAGAUUGAAUAAAGUGUCUAUUUCGAAUUUGCCUUUGGCGGAGAUGUCCCCUAUCGCGCUGUGCAGGGAGGCGGAAGUUAGUCUCGGGCUGAGGCGACCACUGUGCUGAGAAUUUUCAAGGGCCUCCAGCACCGCAUUUCCAGCUGAGUCUGACAAAUUCGAGAGCCUUUUGCCAGCUGUAGGGCUGUGCAGCCCUCUCUCCAUCAGGAUCAUCUCUUUUCUUAUUCUUUCCAUCAUCUCAGCUUUAUAAAAAAUGUCAAAGUUGCAGGGCUGGUCCUGUACUAAUGAUGAGCUGCAG